rnacentral:rRNA from 1 species
UUAAUUAUUUUAUUAAAAAUAAUUAUAAUGAUUAUUAUUUUUAGUAUUUUAUAAAGAAUAAAUAAUUUUAGUAAUAGUGAAUAGUAUUGUAAAAGAAAAUUGAAAUAAUGUGAAAAAUCAAUAUUUAAAAAGAAAAUUUAAUUUAUUGUACCUUGGGUAUCAGGGUUUAUUAAAUAAAAUACUUAUAUAUGUGUUUCUCGAUUUUGAAAGAGUUAAUAAAUUAUAAAAGUUAUUGUGUUAAAAUUAUUUUUAAUAAUUUAUUAGAAAUGAAAUGUUAUUCGUUUUUAAAGGUAUCUAGUUUUUUAAGAAAUAAAUUUAAUUUAGAAAUAAAAAAUUAUUGUUUUAAUUUACAAAAAUAAUAAUUUUUUUAUUUUAAUAUUUUAUGGGAUAAGCUAUAAAAUAAAUAUUUAAAAAUAAAAUAAGAUUUAUAUAAAUUGUAUGCUUAGAAUUAGCAAUCAUUAAAAAUUUUGUUUUAAAUUAUUUUAUAAUUUAUAUUAUUUAUUUUUUUUUAAUUAUUUAUUAAAAUUUUAAUUUUAAUUAUAAAAAUUAAUCAAUAAUGAUAAAAUUAGUAUAUUAUAUUUUAUAAAUAAGUAUUUAGGAUAAGUUUAAUUAAAGAAUUCGGCAAAAUUUAAUAUUCGCCUGUUUAACAAAAACAUGUCUUUUUGAGAUAAUUUUAAAGUUUAACCUGCCCACUGAAAUAAUUUUAAAUGGCCGCAGUAUAUUGACUGUGCAAAGGUAGCAUAAUCAUUAGUCUUUUAAUUGAAGGCUUGUAUGAAUGGUUGGACGAAAUAUUAACUGUUUCAAAUAAAUUUAUUUUAGAAUUUUAUUUUUUAGUUAAAAAGCUAAAAUAGUAGUAAAAGACGAGAAGACCCUAUAAAUCUUUAUAUAUUUGAUAAUUUAAAUAAUAUAGAAAUUUUAUGUUUUAAUUAUUAAAUAUAUUUCAUUGGGGUGAUGUUAAAAUUUGUAAAACUUUUAAUUUUUAAGAACAUUGAUUUAUGAAUUAUUGAUCCAGUUUUAUUGAUUAUAAAUUUAAGUUACUUUAGGGAUAACAGCGUAAUUUUUUUGGAGAGUUCAUAUCGAUAAAAAAGAUUGCGACCUCGAUGUUGGAUUAAGAUAUAAUUUUGGGUGUAGCCGUUCAAUUUUUAAGUCUGUUCGACUUUUAAAAUCUUACAUGAUCUGAGUUCAGACCGGCGUAAGCCAGGUCGGUUUCUAUCUUUAUUAAAUUAAAAUAUUUUAGUACGAAAGGAUUAAAUAUUUAAAUAAUUAUAUUUUUAUUAAGAAUUUGAUUAAUAA